rnacentral:rRNA from 1 species
GACGAACGCUGGCGGCGUGCUUAACACAUGCAAGUCGAACGAAGCGGCGGACGGGGGAGUAAUGCCUAGGAAUCUGCCUGGUAGUGGGGGAUAACGUCCGGAAACGGGCGCUAAUACCGCAUACUAUCAGAUGAGCCUAGGUGGGAUGAGCUAGUUGGUGGGGUAAAGGCCUACCAAGGCGACGAUCCGUACCUGGUCUGAGAGGAUGAUCAGUCACACUGGAACUGAGACACGGUCCAGACUCCUACGGGAGGCAGCAGUGGGGAAUAUUGGACAAUGGGCGAAAGCCUGAUCCAGCCAUGCCGCGUGUGUGAAGAAGGUCUUCGGAUUGUAAAGCACUUUAAGUUGGGAGGCGUUACCAACAGAAUAAGCACCGGCUAACUUCGUGCCAGCAGCCGCGGUAAUAC